GGCAUAUUUUUAAAUCUGGCAGUGAAUGAAAUAGCGCGACAUAAAUGUUGUGAAAUUAUACAUUAAUUUAGAAUAAUCUUUUGAUAUUCAAGAAUCUGCUAGUUGUCUUCUGGAACACUUUUGGUUUUGAACUGUCAGGUCCUUGG